GCGGCCGCCGGCCUCCUAGGAGCUCUCCACCUGGUGAUGACCCUCGUAGUGGCUGCGGCGCGGGCCGAGAAGGAAGCAUUCAUUCAGUCAGAGAGCAUAAUAGAAGUACUGCGUUUUGAUGAUGGAGGACUACUACAGACCGAGACAACACUUGGACUCAGUUCAUAUCAGCAGAAAAGUAUAUCUCUCUACCGGGGGAACUGCAGGCCCAUACGAUUUGAGCCACCGAUGCUGGAUUUCCAUGAACAGUAAGUUUAAAAUUUUUGGACUAUACUUUCCCAUUAAACUAUUAUAUGUAUUUUACAUGCAUUUGUCUUGUCUUUUGCCUGUGUUACAUCUCUGUGGGAAAGUUACAUGUUCUAGUCAUCAGGAAAACAAAUGAUACUGAAUGCAGUUUGAAAAUGGGAAGUAAGUAUCUAUUAGGAGUUUAACAUGUAAUAUUAACUUUUAAAGCUUGAAAAAUACUCGCAUGUUGUAGUCUCUGGUUCAGAGAAUCUUUGGAAACAGCAAAGAACUUAUAAUUAGCUGUUUUGAUUAGCACUUCAUUUUUAUUUUUACUACUUAAAAA
rnacentral:sRNA from 1 species